rnacentral:lncRNA from 1 species
GCCUUACAUUAAUUAUGCGAGAUUUAGAAGUGAGAACUUGAAUCCACAACUUCAAUGGAAUCUAGAGGAGCUCACGUAGUAUUCUCAUAGCAACUCUAACAAAUUUAGACCGAGAAAUUUUGAGAAAAUAGUAAGUCAAACAUAAGAAAGUAACAUAGAGAAGGAGAUGAUAUGGACCUUAAAGAGUAGACUUCUCUGAAUAUUUGAGUUACUAAACAAAUACAAGGCUUCGAAUCCAAAACACAGUGAGAAAAUAGCAGGAACUAAAUCGAGCAGGGACCACGAACCAGUAACAAAACUCGAACAGCAAUUUCAGGCGAGGCAAUCGGACUCGCCGACGACCUCUGUUUUAAGGUUAUCUUAAGCCCGAAUUUUCGAUGGUUUAAGCUAGGACUACGUGGUUAUUUGAAGGGCAGAAUGUGGCAGCAUUUUUUGGUUAUUUGUUGCUUUUUGGACUGGCUUUCAUUGGAAUUUGGUGUGGGAUUGGAGCUCGUUUCCGGGCUGUUUUGUGUGACGCUUUUCAACUUCUUUUGGCUGGUGUUUUGAAGCUAUUACAGCAGGUUUUUGACAGCUUUUCUAGGUGUAUUCUAGGUGGUUAACGGCUGGUAUUUAGUGGUUGUUGAUGAGUGAUUCAGAGCUGAUUUUUGGGGUGGCCUGACUUUGGAGUAUCGCUGGUUGAGGAAGCUGAACAGGGGAUUCCCGUUUU